CUGGCGAAGCAAGCAGAGCCGCUGGCAGAGGACGACCAGCGGCUGAACGCCGUGCCCGCGGGACCACCACGCGCCGACUGCAACCAACAGCAGUACGACGUCAUGAAGGAUAACUUGCUACUCUACAGCCACGCGAAACUCACAUCGGACGACAACCGUACGCCGGGCAGGGAGUACCUGGUGACGGCCAUGUUCACCCACUACGACAGCAACGGGGACGGAGCGCUGAUGCAAGAAGAGCUGGACAAGGCUGGCCGCUCGGACGAGGCGGGCGUCGAGGCACCUGGCGACAGCGGCGGCUGCCAGC